GACGAACGCUGGCGGCGUGCUUAACACAUGCAAGUCGAACGAUGAAGCCUAGCUUGCUAGGUGGAUUAGUGGCGAACGGGUGAGUAAUACGUGAGUAACCUACCUUUAACUCUGGGAUAAGCCUGGGAAACUGGGUCUAAUACCGGAUACGACCAAUCUCCGCAUGGGGUGUUGGUGGAAAGCGUUAUGUAGUGGUUAUAGAUGGGCUCACGGCCUAUCAGCUUGUUGGUGAGGUAACGGCUCACCAAGGCGACGACGGGUAGCCGGCCUGAGAGGGUGACCGGCCACACUGGGACUGAGACACGGCCCAGACUCCUACGGGAGGCAGCAGUGGGGAAUAUUGCACAAUGGGCGCAAGCCUGAUGCA
rnacentral:rRNA from 1 species